UGAGGGAAAGGUGAAAAGCACCCCGAUGAGGGGAGUGAAACAGUACCUGAAACCGGAUGCCUACAAGCAGUUGGAGCUCCCUUGAGGAGUGACAGCGUACCUCUUGUAUAAUGGGUCAACGACUUAAUAUGUCAUGCAAGCUUAAGCCGUUAGGUGGAGGCGCAGCGAAAGCGAGUCUGAAUAGGGCGAAUAGAGUAUGACGUAUUAGACCCGAAACCCGGUGAUCUAGGCAUGACCAGAAUGAAGGUGCGGUAACACGCACUGGAGGUUCGAACCGGUUAACGUUGAAAAGUUAUCGGAUGAGUUGUGUUUAGGGGUGAAAGGCCAAUCAAACCGGGAAAUAGCUGGUUCUCCGCGAAAACUAUUGAGGUAGUGCCUCAGAUGAUUACCGCACGGGGUAGAGCACUGGAUGGGCUAGGGGGUCGCGAGAUCUACCAAACCUAACCAAACUCCGAAUACGUGCGAGUACAGUCUGGGAGACAGACGGCGGGUGCUAAGGUCCGUCGUCGAGAGGGAAACAGCCCUGACCAACAGCUAAGGUCCCCAAAUCGUGUCUAAGUGGGAAAGCAUGUGGAAGUCCCAAAACAACCAGGAGGUUGGCUUAGAAGCAGCCAUCCUUUAAAGAAAGCGUAACAGCUCACUGGUCUAGAUAAGGACUUCUGCGGCGAAGAUGUAACGGGGCUCAAGACACGUACCGAAGCUUUGGGUGUGCAUUUAUGCACGCGGUAGCGGAGCGUUCCGUAAGCCUGUGAAGCGGUCUGGUAAUGGGCCGUGGAGGUAUCGGAAGUGCGAAUGUUGACAUGAGUAGCGAUAAACAGUGUGAGAUGCACUGUCGCCGAAAGCCUAAGGGUUCCUACGCAAGGCUAAUCCGCGUAGGGUGAGCCGGUCCCUAACACGAGCCCGAAGGGGGUAGUGGAUGGAAAUACGGUUAAUAUUCCGUAGCCUGGAGAUGUGUGACGGAUUCCUUAUAUUGUCUGGUCUUAUUGGAUUGAUCAGGCUUUGACGGGGUCCCAGGAAAUAGCCUCUCCGUAUAGACCGUACCCGAAACCGACACAGGUAGGCUGGUAGAGUAUACCAAGGCGCUUGAGAGAAGGGUGUUGAAGGAACUCGGCAAAUUGCCUCCGUACCUUCGGAAGAAGGAGGCCCGAUAUAAGCGCAAGCUCUUAUCGGGGGCACAGGCCAGGGGGUAGCGACUGUUUAACAAAAACACAGGGCUCUGCUAAGUCGGCUUCAAGACGACGUAUAGGGUCUGACGCCUGCCCGGUGCCUGAAGGUUAAGUGGAGGGGUGCAAGCUCCGAAAUGAAGCCCAGGUAAACGGCGGCCGUAACUAUAACGGUCCUAAGGUAGCGAAAUUCCUUGUCGGGUAAGUUCCGACCUGCACGAAUGGCGUAACGACUUCCCCGCUGUCUCCAACACCUGCUCAGCGAAAUUGAAUUCCCCGUGAAGAUGCGGGGUACCCGCGGUUAGACGGAAAGACCCCGUGCACCUUUACUGCAGCUUCAGAGUGG
rnacentral:rRNA from 1 species